UCAAAAAUUACAAUAUUUCUCACAGUCGUGCUGCGUUUGGGAGAUACACAGUCAUGUCAACAUACAUGAAUUUUAUGAGAAGGAGAUAGAGAAUCCAAAGGCCCUAUUGUGCCUUUAAAUGUAGCUGACCAAAAGCUUCUUGAAGCUAGUACACAGUUUCAGAAAAAACAAGGAAAGAAUACUAUUGAUGUCUGGUGGCUUUUUGAUGAUGGAGGUUUGACCUUAUUGAUACCUUACCUUCUGACGACCAAGAAAAAAUGGAAAGACUGUAAGAUCAGAGUAUUCAUUGGUGGAAAGAUAAACAGAAUAGACCAUGACCGGAGAGCGAUGGCUACUUUGCUUAGCAAGUUCCGGAUAGACUUUUCUGAUAUUAUGGUCCUAGGAGAUAUCAAUACCAAACCAAAGAAAGAAAAUAUUAUAGCUUUUGAGGAAAUGAUUGAGCUAUACAGACUUCACGAAGAUGAUAAAGAGCAAGAUAUUGCAGAUAAAAUGAAAGAAGAUGAACCAUGGCGAAUAACAGAUAAUGAGCUUGAGCUUUAUAAGACCAAGGUAUUC
rnacentral:sRNA from 1 species